AGCGAACGCUGGCGGCAGGCCUAACACAUGCAAGUCGAACGAUCCUUCGGGAUAGUGGCGGACGGGUGAGUAACACGUGGGAACGUACCUUUAGGUUCGGGAUAACUCAGGGAAACUUGAGCUAAUACCGGAUAAGCCCUUUUGGGGAAAGGUUUAUCGCCUUUAGAGCGGCCCGCGUUAGAUUAGCUAGUUAGUGAGGUAAAGGCUAACCAAGGAUCCGAUCUAUAGCUGGUCUGAGAGGAUGAUCAGCCACACUGGGACUGAGACACGGCCCAGACUCCUACGGGAGGCAGCAGUGGGGAAUCUUGCGCAAUGGGCGAAAGCCUGACGCAGCCAUGCCGCGUGAAUGAUGAAGGUCUUAGGAUUGUAAAAUUCUUUUAGCAGGGACGAUAAUGACGGUACCUGCAGAAAAAGCCCCGGCUAACUUCGUGCCAGCCGCCGCAGUAAAAC
rnacentral:rRNA from 1 species